AUUUAUUUAUUUUUCGUUGGUUGGGGAAGGGGGGUUAUUUUUGAAGAAAGGCUUGGCUCGGGUCUCUUAACGAAUGCGGAAUGCCUUUGGGAGUAAGAAAAGAAGUCUUCUUUGGUCUAGAUAGUAGACAGAGAACACGGGUGAUAGGUAGGGAUGGCAAAAAUCCCCACGGGGAUGGGUACCCUCGGGGAUUUUUCCCAUUCGGGGAGGGUAUGGGGAUAAUUUUAUACCUAAUUUUUUUUUCGGGGAGGGGACGGGGAAAAUUUUUUACCCAACUUUUUAUUCGGGGAGGGGACGGGGAUGAGGUGGAAUUCCCAUCACCUACCCAUUUCCCCAUUUUAAUUUUUAAUUUUAUUUUUAUUUUUAAAAUUACUAAUAAAUAAAUAACAAAAUUAUAAAUAUUGUUAAAAAUAAUAAAUAUCAAAAUAGUUGUAUGUUGGGAAAGUGGUCACCCUUUGCCGGGAAUUAGUUGAAGAGUAUUAAUUGAAGUUUUCACCAACUGUUUAUUGCUUUGAUUAUACUGGUAGUAGUUCUUCUACUAGAUCUACAGGGGAUUCUUAUAAGAAAGCAACCAAAUGGAUGACAGGUUUUAAUGAUUAUGUAAACAAUGGAGAUUGUGCAGUUGUUGCAGAUGAAUUAGAUUCAUAUUUGGAUGAGAAAGUUAUAUCUCGGAUGGAAGAUUUUAAUAUUUUGAGUUGGUGGAAGACAAAUGCUAAUAGGUAUCCUACAUUAGCUCGAAUUGCUAGAGAUAUUUUGGCAAUUCCAAUUACAACAGUUGCUUCUGAAUCAGCUUUUAACACUAGUGGUAGAGUUGUGAGCUCAUACCAUAACAAACUUCAUCCAAGCACAUUGGAGGACUUAAUGUGCUGUCAAAGUUGGUUACGAGCUUACAAUAGCGGUAUGAGUUUAUUUUAAUAUGAUUAAUUUAAAAUCGAAAAUAAAAAAUGUAUUAGACUAUUAAUUAUUCGGGGACCGGGGACCCUCGGGGAUCCCCUGUUAUUAUUCGGGGAGGGGAUGGGGAUUCUCUCAAGCAAUUUUGACGGGGACGGGGAGGGGACGGGGACAUAUGCAAAACAUUGGGGAUGGGUAUGGGGAGAUUGGUCCCCUCCCCUCCCCUCCCCAUUGCCAUCCCUAGUGAUAGGGCGGUGCCGCGGUACGUGACCCGAGUUGACCGGGUUUUAGCUGCUUUAAUGAACUGUGCAAUCGAUUAUACCACGAGGUACGUUUGGCAAGAAGAAUCUAGAAAAAAGAAGCUGAGCGUAAGGCUGUGCGGGGGAAAUUCAUUCUACGGUGCCGUUUUGUUGAUGGUCUUGGUUUUCAGGUUGGAUGCAAGAAAGUUCAAUAUGGGCCUCGACAAUUCAAUAAGACCUGCCCAUUCCUAGAUGGACUUACAUUAUUGCCACCCCUCUAAAUGCCGCUUAAAAUCCAUUUUCUUUAUUAAUCUCAUUAAAACGUUUAAAAAUAAUACAACGUGUUUUUACUAGUUACGUUAAAAAAAAAAAAAAAAAUCAAUUGAAACUUAUUCGUGUAAAUCAACGCCAUUCUUUAGUAUCCUCUUGUUCACAUUCCUCAACCAAUUUUCUUUUUUUGUUUGUUUUAAGCAUUAUUGGCAUAAUUCAGUGUACUGGCAACCAUGUGCAGGGCUUGUAGAUUAUUUCAAUUGGAUCGAUUUUUGACGAGGCAGCAAUGAUGGUGGCUCGACUUGGGUGUGGUCGGCUCGUGAGUGUAGUCGCCUAGUCGGCUUGAUGGGGAACGUGCAUAUUAGGCCAGUUUUGUGGGGGCUGGUGGCGUGAAAGAUUUGCGUCUCCCGUCAAAGGUGGGAUUGGUUAGAUCGGCUUGAUGUGGAGGAGUGGCGGUUCGAUUUUGUAGGGGCUGUUGGUGUGGCGGUAGUGUGGCAGUUGAAUGGUAGUUGUUUUUGUAUAGUGGCGGUGGGUUAGAGUGUGGAAUAGUUUUCCGGUUAAAGCACGUGGCGGUGGUUUGGAUGGGAGUAGACGGCGUCAUUGUUGUUUAGUGAGUGUCCGCCACCGUCAGCCAAAUAAGCCAUAAAAGCCAAUCAAGGUGUUUGGUGCAGUUUGGCCGCGAAACAGAAAAUUUUUUACUUGUCGGUGAGGGUUUAAUUAGUAAUUAUAUCCCCUUUAAAAAAUAUUAGUAACUAUAUCCGAUAAGUAAUUUUAAUAAAAAUUAAAAGAGUGUGGCUAUCAAGGAUGAGUGUCUCAAUACUCAUUCUUGAUAUUUUACAUACGUCCUUGUUCAUAAUUAUUUGAAGGAGUUUUUGUCCCCUUCAUGAAUAAUAUUCACGAGGUUUCUGAUUUUUAAAUAAUUAAUACGUUUUUAAUUUUUUAUUUUAAUUUAAUUAUAUUAAAAUAAAAAAUUUAAAUAAAAGUUGAG
rnacentral:lncRNA from 1 species